rnacentral:rRNA from 1 species
GACGAACGCUGGCGGCGUGCUUAACACAUGCAAGUCGAACGGAAAGGCCCUGCUUUUGUGGGGUGCUCGAUUGGCGAACGUGUGAGUAACACGUGAGUAACCUGCCCUUGACUUUGGGAUAACUUCAGGAAACUGGGGCUAAUACCGGAUAGGAGCUCCUGCUGCAUGGUGUGGGUUGGAAAGUUUCGGCGGUUGGGGAUGGACUCGCGGCUUAUCAGCUUGUUGGUGGGGUAGUGGCUUACCAAGGCUUUGACGGGUAGCCGGCCUGAGAGGGUGACCGGCCACAAUGGGACUGAGAGAGGGCCCAGACGCGUACGGGAGGCAGCAGUGGGGAAUAUGGCGCAAUGGGCGGAAGCCUGAUGCAGCAACGCCGCGUGCGGGAUGACGGCCUUCGGGGUGUAAACCGCUUUCGCCUGUGACGAAGCGUGAGUGACGGUAAUGGGUAAAGAAGCACCGGCUAACUACGUG